UAGGGAAUCUUCGGCAAUGGACGCAAGUCUGACGGAGCAACGCCGCGUGAGUGAAGAAGGAUUUCGGUUCGUAAAACUCUGUUGUUAGAGAAGAACAGCGCAUAGAGUAACUGUUAUGCGUGUGACGGUAUCUAACCAGAAAGCCCCGGCUAACUACGUGCCAGCAGCCGCGGUAAUACGUAGGGGGCUAGCGUUGUCCGGAAUCACUGGGCGUAAAGGGUUCGCAGGCGGAAAUGCAAGUCAGGUGUAAAAGGCAGUAGCUUAACUACUGUAAGCAUUUGAAACUGCAUAUCUUGAGAAGAGUAGAGGUAAGUGGAAUUUUUAGUGUAGCGGUGAAAUGCGUAGAUAUUAAAAAGAAUACCGGUGGCGAAGGCGACUUACUGGGCUCAUUCUGACGCUGAGGAACGAAAGCGUGGGUAGCAAACAGG
rnacentral:rRNA from 1 species